GCUGGAUAGCUCACUUGGUUAGAGCGUGGUGCUGAUCACACCAAGGUGGCAGGUUCGAUCCCCGUAUGGGACAGCUGCA